rnacentral:pre_miRNA from 1 species
ACAACGACAUUCGGACCAUCGGUCUACCGAGAAAUAUCAGCCGCUCAGUGGAAGAUCUUUCCUUUGUCGUUAAAC